UAAGCACUCUGUUAAAGCCGGGCACUGAUGUCGGUGUUGCGGUGUCGGAAGAGUGCAAGAGUGAGCUGGCCGGGUUUUCGCUAACACCAUUAGGACAAUUGUCCCAUGACUGGAGUUUGAUAGUGACCUGAGCCACAUUU